rnacentral:tRNA from 1 species
GGAGCUGUGGCUUAGUUUGUCAAAGUGCGUGUCUAGUAAACAGCAGAUCAUGGGUUCAAAUCCCAGCUGUACCA